rnacentral:lncRNA from 1 species
UUCAGGAACCACGGAAAAAAUACAGGACGCUGAGCCCCGCAGCCCAAGCAGAGCCGCACAGAGAGGC